rnacentral:lncRNA from 1 species
UUUACUUUGAUUAGAAAAACUUUCAUUUGACUUUUGAAGGAAGAGAAUGCAGCGUGAAGAGAUUGAUGGCAACUGUCAUUUCGCAAGGUUUCUUUACUUCACAAUUGCAUUUAGAUAGUUGAUUUGAUUGGGCAUUGAAAUUUCUUUUUUAUCACUGCACGGUGCUUCAAAGGGGCUGGAACGUUUCAGCCUUGUUUCCGUGAUUGAAGU